rnacentral:rRNA from 1 species
UAAAGCUACAAAGAGCUAAUGGGGAAUGCCUUGGUACUGACAGCCGACGAAGGACGUGUAAAGCUGCGAUAAGCCACGGGGAACUGCUAAAAGGUCUUGAUCCGUGGAAAUCCGAAUGGGGAAACCCUCCAGAGUUAAAACUUUGGAACCCGUAACUGAAUACAUAGGUUGCGCGGAGGAAAGCCUGUGAACUGAAACAUCUUAGUAACAGGACGAAGAGAAAAUAAACCAAUGAUUCCGAGAGUAGCGGCGAGCGAAAUUGGAAGAGCCUAAAUUGUGUGUACGUGAUAGCCUGCAAGCGUUGUGCACAUGAGGUUGUGGGACUUGCAUCAUAUUUUGCAGAAUAUGGAUUGAGUUAGAAAAUUAUUUAUUAGUUAAAGUCAACUGGGAAGUUGCGCCAUAGAGAGUGAUAGCCUCGUAAACGACAAUAAAUAAUCUCAAGUAAGUAUCCCGAGUAAGGCGGGGCACGUGAAACCCUGUCUGAAUCCACCGGGACCAUCCGGUAAGGCUAAAUACUAGUCAGUGACCGAUAGUGAACGAGUACAGUGAUGGAAAGGCGAAAAGAACAGUGAGAAGCUGAGUGAAAUAGACCCUGAAACCGUUAGCUUACAACCAGUCAGAGCACAAUUAAUUGUGUGAUGGCGUGCCUGUUGAAGAAUGAGCCGGCGAGUUAUUUUUUGUUGCGAGGUUAAGGAGAUCAUAUCCGGAGCCACAGGGAAACCGAGUCUGAAUAGGGCGUUAAGUAACAGGAAAUAGACCCGAACCUUGGUGAUCUAACCUUGACCAGGAUGAAGCGUGGGUAACACUACGUGGAGGUCCGAACCAACCGAUGUUGAAAAAUCGGUGGAUGAGUUGAGGUUAGGGGUGAAAUGCCAAUCGAACCAAGAGCUAGCUGGUUCUCCCCGAAAUGCGUUUAGGCACAGCGUUGGAUUUAUCUUGCAGGAGGUAGAGCACUGGUUUUGUGCGGGCGUCGAAAUGAUGUACCAAACAAUGUCAAACUCCGAAUACCUGUAAUGUCAUUAUCCAGCAGUGAGGCUAUGAGUGAUAAGAUCCAUGGCCAAGAGGGAAACAGCCCAGAACGCCAGUUAAGGUCCCUAAUAUAUGCUAAGUGGUUAAGGAGGUAGAGUUACUGAGACAACCAGGAGGUUGGCUUAGAAGCAGCCAUCCCUUGAAAGAGUGCGUAAUAGCUCACUGGUCAAGUGACUCCGCGCCGAAAAUACACCGGGACUAAAGCAUAUAACCGAAGCUGCGUCAUAUAGUUUACUAUAUGGGUAGGGGAGCGUACUGUAGUAAGACGAAGCUAGAGUGAAAACACUAGUGGAUGAGGCAGUAGUGAGAAUGUCGGCAUAAGUAGCGAAAACAUUGGUGAGAAUCCAAUGCACCGAAAACCUAAGGUUUCCCACGGCAGGCUCGUCCGCGUGGGGUUAGUCGGAUCCUAAGCUCAGGCCAAACGGCGUAGGCGAUGGACAAUAGGUUGAUAUUCCUAUACUAUCUGAUAAUCGUUAUCAGAAGCGGAGGGACGCAAGAGGAUAAGCACGCAGUCGAAUGGAAGAGACUGUAUAAGCGUGUAGCUAGGUUUGACAGGAAAAUCCGUCAAAUCGUUAAUGUGAGGCGUGAUGUGGAGAGUCUACGGACUCGAAGGUGUUGACUCCAAAUUGCCAAGAAAAUCUUCGCUCUCGAGAUUAUUGGGUAUCCGUACCGUAAACCGCCACAGGUAGGUUGGUAGAAAAUACUAAGGUGCGCGAGACAACUCUCGCUAAGGAACUCGGCAAAAUCACCUCGUAACUUCGGGAGAAGAGGUACCCUGGUAGCGUGAAGCGAUUUACUCGUGAAGCGUGAUAGGGUCGCAGUGAAUAGGCCCAAGCGACUGUUUACCAAAAACACAGGUCUCUGCUAAGUCGAUCAAGACGAUGUAUAGGGGCUGACGCCUGCCCGGUGUCGGAAGGUUACGCGGAAAUGUUAGAAGCAAUUCAAAGCAUCGAAGCUAAGCCCCGAUGAACGGCGGCCGUAACUAUAACGGUCCUAAGGUAGCGAAAUUCCUUGUCAGGU